GUUGGUCAGAGAGUGUCCCCCAACUUUUGAGUAGAAACAGAGGGAAGGAGCUGGGAUCAAGACAGGAAAAAGCAGGAGCUUCGAUCCCAAGCUGGCUCCACAGAGCCUCUCCUGGAAGCUGCACCGACCACUGAGCAUGGCAGGGUCUUGGAGGGGCCCUCUGAGGGCUCUCAGGACUCCGAGCAGGUCUGGCACACACAUGCCCUAGGACCCAUGUGAAACAGGCUCACUUCCUGGCCUCCUUCCUUUUUUCUAUUCUAUUUCUGUUACCAGAGUUUUCUCUGGGGCAGGCUCCCCCUUCUUCCCACACCAGCAAGCAGGCUGGCUCUCUCUGCCUCUUGGCCUCUGGGCUCCAGCACCUCUCAAUUGUCAGACUCCUCCCUCCUGCAUGGGGCUCCCUCCCAGGGGUGCAAUGGAGGUCACAGUCAUAGCCAGGAAUGGGAUGAUUGCAGGGAGGGCUCCCCUAGGGGGCAGAGAGAAAGCAGGAGAAAGCAGCAACCUUUCUUCUUCAUCCCCCUUGGGGAGCUAAUUACAGGCCAGCAGCCCACUGCACAGGUCAGCCAACCAAGUGUGGCAGCCCCCAGCCCAGCAUUCCAAGGAAGACAUGUCGGAUCGCAAGUGAGCCCUGGUGACCAAGAGACCAGAAACACCACUGGGAUGCUCUGGAGGACCUGGAGCCGAGGUGCGGACGAGCUGACGAGGCCACAGAGGGAAAGGGCUCUCGGGGAACCCCUGCUAGUACAGAACUAAGCCCAUGUGUCCUCCUGGGAUCUGUCUUCUGUGGUGAUCAUCAUACGGGGAUGCAACAAAGAAUGAAGAUCUCCCAGCAGGCCCAAGGCAGGCUCCAGCUUGCUCCAUCUUCCCCGCCCUCCCCUGCUCUCCAAGUUAGGAGCAGGCGACUCACGGUGCAGACUGAGGGAGAU